rnacentral:rRNA from 1 species
CCUACGGGUGGCAGCAGUAGGGAAUCUUUCACAAUGGGCGAAAGCCUGAUGGAGCAACGCCGCGUGCAGGAUGAAGGCCUUCGGGUUGUAAACUGCUUUUAUAAGCGAGAAAUAUGAUGGUAACUUAUGAAUAAGGAUCGGCUAACUACGUGCCAGCAGCCGCGGUCAUACGUAGGAGCCGAGCAUUAUCCGGAGUGAAUGGGUGUAAAGAGUUGCGUAGGUGGCAUAAUAAGUAGCACGUGGAAUCUGGUGGCGCAACCAUUCAGACAAUUAGCGAAACUGUUAAGCUCGAGACCGUUAGGGGUAACUGGAAUUUCUAGUGUAGGAGUGAAAUCCAUAGAUAUUAGAAGGAACACCAAUAGCGUAGGCAGGUUGCUGGGACGGUUCUGACACUAAGGCACGAAAGCGUAGGGAGCAAACGGGAUUAGAUACCCUAGUAGUC